ACUGCUCAGUAACACGUGGAUAACCUGCCCUUGGGUCCGGCAUAACCCCGGGAAACUGGGGAUAAUUCCGGAUAACGCAUAUUUGCUGGAAUGCUCUAUGCGUAAAAUGGAUUCGUCUGCCCAAGGAUGGGUCUGCGGCCUAUCAGGUAGUAGUGGGUGUAAUGUACCUACUAGCCAGCGACGGGUACGGGUUGUGAGAGCAAGAGCCCGGAGAUGGAUUCUGAGACAUGAAUCCAGGCCCUACGGGGCGCAGCAGGCGCGAAAACUUUACAAUGCGGGAAACCGUGAUAAGGGGACACCGAGUGUCAGCAUCAUAUGCUGGCUGUCCAGGUGUGUAAAAUACACCUGUUAGCAAGGGCCGGGCAAGACCGGUGCCAGCCGCCGCGGUAACACCGGCGGCCCGAGUGGUGAUCGUGAUUAUUGGGUCUAAAGGGUCCGUAGCCGGUUUGGUCAGUCCUCCGGGAAAUCUGAUAGCUCAACUAUUAGGCUAUCGGGGGAUACUGCCAGACUUGGAACCGGGAGAGGUAAGAGGUACUACAGGGGUAGGAGUGAAAUCUUGUAAUCCCUGUGGGACCACCUGUGGCGAAGGCGUCUUACCAGAACGGGUUCGACGGUGAGGGACGAAAGCUGGGGGCACGAACCGGAUUAGAUACCCGGGUAGUCCCAGCCGUAAACGAUGCUCGCUAGGUGUCAGGCAUGGCGCGACCGUGUCUGGUGCCGCAGGGAAGCCGUGAAGCGAGCCACCUGAGAAGUACGGCCGCAAGGCUGAAACUUAAAGGAAUUGGCGGGGGAGCA
rnacentral:rRNA from 1 species